GUGGGGAAUAUUGGACAAUGGGGGGAACCCUGAUCCAGCCAUGCCGCGUGUGUGAAGAAGGCCUUUUGGUUGUAAAGCACUUUAAGCGAGGAGGAGGCUACCGAGAUUAAUACUCUUGGAUAGUGGACGUUACUCGCAGAAUAAGCACCGGCUAACUCUGUGCCAGCAGCCGCGGUAAUACAGAGGGUGCAAGCGUUAAUCGGAUUUACUGGGCGUAAAGCGCGCGUAGGUGGCCAAUUAAGUCAAAUGUGAAAUCCCCGAGCUUAACUUGGGGAUUGCAUUCGAUACUGGUUGGCUAGAGUAUGGGAGAGGAUGGUAGAAUUCCAGGUGUAGCGGUGAAAUGCGUAGAGAUCUGGAGGAAUACCGAUGGCGAAGGCAGCCAUCUGGCCUAAUACUGACACUGAGGUGCGAAAGCAUGGGGAGCAAACAGGAUUAGAUACCCUUGUAGUCC
rnacentral:rRNA from 1 species